GUUUUUUCAACAACAACAAUUCAUCCACCUCGGUAGCGUGCUAGCCAACAUAAAACCACAACAUUGAAGCUCUUUAGUCAAAGUAUAUUAACCUCAGUGUUUUAAACACAAUGUCAGAGUAACGUUAACUAGUAAAUAGGCUAUUUAAUUUAACAUUUACGUUAUUAGCUAUCUGGCUAUGUAACACUCGGCUAAUGCUAACUAGCUUACUUUCUAACAUCCUCGACCAUGAGCUUACUAAGCUACUCCCCACCUGCUAAAGAAGAGGAGGUCUGUUGGACGGAGAAAGACGCCCCCGUGAAAGAGGAGGAAGAGGAGGCUGUUACAGUUAAACAAGAAGUAGAGGGCGAGGCUGUUACAGUUAAACAAGAAGUAGAGGGUGAGGCUGUUACAGUGAAAGAAGAGGAGAAAGACGUGAAAGAGGAAGAAUUUACAGUGAAAGAAGAGGAAGAAUCUUUAAGAGUGAAAGAGGAGGAUGCAGUUUUUGGAAUGGAGGAGGAGGAGGGGGAGAUUACUGUCACGUUGGAGGAGGAAGGGAAGACUGGAGAUUUGAAUAACACGAGAGAAAGACCAGACUCAGAGGAACCAGAGACGUCCAAACCGGCAAAACAACACAACUGCUCCCACUGUGGAAAGGGUUUUAACCAUGUAAGGGACCUGAAACGACAUGAGAGAAUACACACAGGGGAGAAGCCUUUCCAAUGCUCCCAGUGUGGAAAAAGUUUUUCCUUGUUAGCGAGCCUGAAACGACAUGAGAGGACACACACAGGAGAGAAGCCUCAUCACUGCUCCCAAUGUGGAAAGAGUUUUACCCAGUUAGGACACCUGAAAGUGCACGAGAGGAUACACACAGGGGAGAAGCCCUACCACUGCUCCCAAUGUGGAAAGAGUUUUAACCGGAAAGAAUCCCUGAAAGAGCAUGAAAGAAUACACACAGUGCAGAAGCAAGAGAAACCGUACCACUGCUCCCACUGUGUAAAGGGUUUUAACCAGUUAGGGGACCUGAAAAUGCAUGAGAGAAUACACACAUGCGAUAAAUCUUUCCAAUGCUUCCAGUGUGGAAAGAGUUUUUCCGCAUCAGGGUGCCUGAAAAGACAUGAGAGAACACACACAGGGGGAAAACCUCAUCACUGCUCCCAGUGUGGAAAGAGUUUUAACCGGAACGAACACCUGAAAGAGCAUGAGAGAAUACACACAGGAGACAAGCCCUACCACUGCUCCCAAUGUAAAAAGAGUUUUGCCUGGUUAGGACACAUGAGAAGACAUGAGAGAACACACACAGGAGAUAAGGAUGUAGGCUGCUGAACAGUGGGACAUGGGACAGAUAAAGGCUGCUGAACAGUGGGACAUAGGACAGAUGUAGGCUGAACAGUGGGACAUAGGACAGAUGUAGGCUGAACAGUGGGACAUAGGACAGAUGUAGACUGAACAGUAGGACAUAGGACAGAUGGAGGCUGAACAGUGGGUCAGGACAGAUGUAGGCUGAACAGUAGGUCAUAGGACAGAUGUAGGCUGAACAGUGGGACAGAUGUAGACUGCACAGUAGGACAGAUGUAGGCUGAACAGUAGGACAUAGGACAGAUGGAGGCUGAACAGUAGGACAUAGGACAGAUGUAGGCUGAACAGUAGGACAGAUAUAGGCUGAACAGUGGGACAGAUGUAGACUGAACAGUAGGUCAUAGGACAGAUGUAGUCUGAACAGUAGGUCAUAGGACAGAUGUAGGCUGAACAGUGGGUCAUAGGACAGAUGUAGACUGAACAGUAGGACAGAUAUAGGCUGAACAGUGGGUCAUAGGACAGAUAUAGGCUGAACAGUGGGUCAUAGGACAGAUAUAGGCUGAACAGGAGGACAGAUGUAGGCUGAACAAUGGAACAUAGGACAGAUGUAGGCUGAACAGUGGGACAUAGGACAGAUGUAGGCUGAACAGUAGGACAGAUGUAGGCUGAACAGUGGGACAUAGGACAGAUGUAGGCUGAACAGUGGGUAAUAGGACAUAUGUAAGCUGAACAGUGGGACAGAUGUAGACUGAACAGUGGGACAGAUGUAGGCUGAACAGUAGGACAGAUGAAGGCUGAACAGUAGGUCAUAGGACAGAUAUAGACUGAACAGUGGGACAUAGGACAGAUGUAGGCUGAACAGUAGGACAUAGGACAGAUGUAGGCUGAACAGUGGGACAUAGGACAGAUGUAGGCUGCUGAACAGUGGGACAUGACACAGAUGUAGUCUGAACAGUGGGACACGAGGACAGAUGUAGCCUGAACAGUGGGACAUGGGACAGAUAUAGGCUGAACCGUGGGACAUAGGACAGAUGUAGGCUGAACAGUGGGACAGAGGACAGAUGUAGGCUGAACAGUGGGACAUGGGACAGAUAUAGGCUGAACAGUAGGACAUAGGACAGAUAUAGGCUGAACAGUGGGUCAUAGGACAGAUGUAGGCUGAACAGUGGAACAUAGGACAGAUGUGGGCUGAACAGUAGGACAGAUGUAGGCUGAACAGUGGGACAGAUGUAGGCUGAACAGUGGGACAUAGGACAGAUAUAGGCUGAACAGUAGGACAUAGGACAGAUAUAGGCUGA